AGCACCUCCCAAGGGUCAGUCUGUUCGCCUGUUAAAGCGGUACGCGAGCUGGGUUCAGAACGUAAAUUACAUUGCGUUCUACGCUAGUAAUAGCGUAAAUUAAUUACUGACUAAAAUCGGUGAAACCCUUAGUGAAUAUCGUCCGAUAUUCACGGGUAAUACCGAGGGUAAGUCAAGAGGUUUUUUCAAAAAUCCUUUUGAAUCCCGUAGAGACUUGUAGUUUCAAGACUACAGACGUUCACCAUGAACGUAAGACGUCAGCCCCGCCAAUAAUUUUAUAAUUUAGGCGGGUGAAGAUAUAGUCCAUGCAAUCAGAAAUGGUUGAUUAACAUGCGUGAGACAGUUCGGACUCUAUCCGGUGGAAGCGCAAGAAUCUUGAGGAGAGCUCUUGGCAGUACGAGAGGACCCUGAGGGAGGAAUCCCUGGUGUGCCGGUUGUCGCGUCAGCGGCAGCGCCGGGUAGCUAUAUUCCUAAGGGAUAACCGCUGAAAGCAUCUAAGUGGGAAGCCCACUCCAAGAUUAGGAUUCUAUUAGACCCCGAGAAGAAUACUCGGUUAAUCGGCAAGCGCUGGAAGACUCGUAAGAGUUUAAGGCUACUUUGCGCGAAUCGGUCGAAUCUUGCGAUCCC
rnacentral:ncRNA from 1 species